CGGGGUGUGGCUCAGCUUGGUAGAGCGCUCGGUUCGGGGCUGAGAGGUCAGGAGUUCGAAUCUCCUCACCCCGACCA
rnacentral:tRNA from 1 species